rnacentral:rRNA from 1 species
UACGUAGGGUCGAGCGUUGUCCGGAAUUACUGGGCGUAAAGAGCUCGUAGGUGGUUUGUCGCGUUGUUCGUGAAAACUCACAGCUCAACUGUGGGCGUGCGGGCGAUACGGGCAGACUGGAGUACUGCAGGGGAGACUGGAAUUCCUGGUGUAGCGGUGGAAUGCGCAGAUAUCAGGAGGAACACCGGUGGCGAAGGCGGGUCUCUGGGCAGUAACUGACGCUGAGGAGCGAAAGCGCGGGGAGCGAACAGG